AUGCCUUACACAUGCAAGUCGGACGGCAGCGCGGGCUUCGGCCUGGCGGCGAGUGGCGAACGGGUGAGUAAUACAUCGGAACAUGUCCAGUAGUGGGGGAUAGCCCGGCGAAAGCCGGAUUAAUACCGCAUACGAUCUUUGGAUGAAAGCGGGGGACCGAAAGGCCUCGCGCUAUUGGGGUGGCCGAUGGCGGAUUAGCUAGUUGGUGGGGUAAAGGCCUACCAAGGCGACGAUCCGUAGCUGGUCUGAGAGGACGACCAGCCACACUGGGACUGAGACACGGCCCAGACUCCUACGGGAGGCAGCA
rnacentral:rRNA from 1 species